rnacentral:rRNA from 1 species
CAGUCGCCGCGGUAAGACAGAGGAUGCAAGCGUUAUCCGGAAUGAUUGGGCGUAAAGCGUCUGUAGGUGGCUUUUCAAGUCCGCCGUCAAAUCCCAGGGCUCAACCCUGGACAGGCGGUGGAAACUACCAAGCCGGAGUACGGUAGGGGCAGAGGGAAUUUCCGGUGGAGCGGUGAAAUGCGUUGAGAUCGGAAAAAACACCAACGGCGAAAGCACUCUGCUGGGCCGACACUGACACUGAGAGACGAAAGCUAGGGGAGCGAACAGGAUUAGAGACCCCCGUAGUCCCUGUCUCUUAUAC